rnacentral:lncRNA from 10 species
GCUGGCCCAAGGCAGGCAGGAAGUGGGGUAGUAACCAGGACUGGAAUAAGAGCGAUGAAUGGAAGGGCGUUGUGAGCCUGUGAUCGAUGCGAUCAGAGUUCUAUUACGUUUUAAAGAGACAGCACCCGUGACGUUUAAGGUAUUUCACCCCAAUAAUAAAAUAAUAAUGCCAGAAGCUGAAGAGUAAUCAGGACCUCAGGAUUACUCAUAGAUAACACAAGUGUGAAGAGAGGGGAGAGCAGCAAAGGCUGAGCUGCGUGUGCCUGGUCCCUUCCAGACUUUCCAGAUAACUUUGCCCCACGGAGGACAAGGAAAGCCAAAAGAGAGAAGCCAGGAUUGUUAGUCUUGGAAAAUGCCUCCAUAUAGAAACAUGAGCCGGAGAAUAAAUCACUUGCCUCUCUAACCAGUUGGAUUUGGUCCGUGAGUUCCUAGUUUUGUUCACCUGACUUAGUCCCUGACUUUUAAAGUCAAGUGCAUCAACAUGCUGCCAGUACUUUGAUGAACAUCUAUACAGGAUCCAUCUCUACAGCAGUGAAUUCCACCUGGGGUAAAGUAUGCAUGUAGGUUAGGAUGCUACAGUGGGACUCUGUCUGCUUUUUCUGUCUGUUUCUGCUAAGGCCUCCACACAUUAGAUGGUCAGUACUCUUUGUUCUAUGGGAAGGGCUAGAAUACCUAAACAGGACUUUCACGGAGGGAGCAACAAACCAGUUUUGUGGCUCUCAGCAAACAUCCAUCUCAAAGGUGAGUUUGGAAAUAAUGGAGAGUAUGUCAGUGUGUUUGUGUCUCAGGCCUACUUCCCACGCCUAUGGGGGAAGGGUGGGACUUAUCUCUCUCUUCCCUCAAGCCUGCUAAGAGGAGAUUAGACUAUAUUUGAGAUAAAUACCUCCAGCACAGUGACAGCCAUGCAGCUCAUGCCUGUGAAAUCAAAAGGCAAGAGGAUGCGGCUGGCUGGCUGCUCUGAGGGCAGAGAGAAAAGACCAGACAGCUCUUGGAACAGACUGUUCUUCCAGUGACGAUGGGGACAAAGAUGCAUGAGUGUAUCUCCAGGACUGGAUGUGAGCUGCAUGGGAGAAAAAGAGUGCAGGCCUGCAGCCCGGGAAAACCCAAAAGGAUGCCAUAAACCCAACAGGAAGAUGGGUUGUCAGGGCCCCAGGAGCUGAGAAAGGAAUAAAAAUGACAGAGAGAGAAAAGUACAUUGUCCACAUCAUAAAUAACACAGCUGAAUGUGCCCAAUGAGGUCCUCAGAGAACCCACAGAAGUGCCCAUGGGAACAGUUCUCUCUGGGACUCAAACCCAGGGAGAGGUGCUUUUAAACAUGCAAAGAGAGGGAACCAUCAUCAUAUUACAUUGCAGUGUCCACAUGAAUAAGACCCUAACUUACCUCAUAUUUCUCCUCCUUCCUCUGCUUUAAUCCAGGAGGAGCCAGAGACCUCUCAGUAAGUGAAGAAGAGGGGAAAUAGGUAAAAAGCCACUAUUCCCCAUGUUAGAUGAGGAAAUAGGAACAUUCUCCUCCUCUACCCAACACCCACUGUAGCUUUUAGUGGCUGGAGUCAGGAGAGAAAAGUUUUCAUGUUAAAUGAAUUUCAGAGGUUUGACUAUGACAUAGAAAUGGAUAUUUUAAUUACUGAAAUAAAACUGUUUUGUAAUUAGAGGUGACUGGAAGACAUUUUAUCCUCAGCAGAAGAAUAGAUAAGGAUAGGACCUUCCCUCCCCCUUGGACCCCACCAAGGUUUUAUCCAGAGGCAGAGGAAGAAGUAACCCUUUAUGUGAGUUUGAAUGGGCAGAAGAAGAAAAGGAUGAAGUUGUCUUCUAAUUGCACUCUAUGAAUGUUGCUUUUUUGUUAACAUAAAUGUCACAUAUAUUUUUAGCUGGUGUAACAAAAAAAAAAACAUCUCAAGCCGGCUUGCAUAAUAACAGCUUUGGGCACAGUCUGAUCAAGGCCCCGGUUCUGUUUGCUAGUGAUCCUCCUGAUUCUGCCCUCUCUCCAUGCUAGUUUCUUCCUCAGAUUGACAUUCCUCUUGGUCACCAGAUGCCUACAAUCAGCGGGUGCAACUCUCUGCUCCCUGCUCACUUCUGAAGGGGAGAGCAUGGAUACCAACCACAGAACAAAGCCCUGCAGUCUCCCGCUGAGUAGAACACCCACGAAGAAGUGUUGGCCAUUUCCCUAUUGCCAGGGAAAUAUCAUGUAUUGGUUGGAUUAGGCCUGUAUUAAUCCAGUUAAUGGAACAUAGUUAAACUAUCCCAGACCCUCCAUAGACACUAGAGAAAAGGUGAAUCCAACCCAAAUGUAAGACUGCUACUCAAUAGGACAGAAAAGGCAUGGAUGUCAGUGAAAUGGGAAAAAAAAUGUGUGCCAAAGGAGAUCAGGAAGGACUGAAUAGAAGACAUGGCCUUUGAAUUGAAGCCUUUAAUGAGGAAAGGGGAUUGACAUUGUAUGAGGGCCAGGGUGGAGAGCGGGUUGUGAAGAGGAUAGGGAAAAUGCAAGGACACUGCGGAUAUAAGAAUUAAUGGGAGAAUCAUGGGCCACAAAGCAGCAGGAUUAUAUUACAGAGAUUGCGGUGCAUCAAAAGAUCAGGGUGAAACUGACUUCAAGGAAAGAGCCCUCGGCUAGAGGAAGAAGCCUGGAGAAGUAAAGGGAUUGCUCCUGGAAUUGGAAAUCUACCCUUUGCACUUCUAUUUACUGCAUUUGGAUUGAUUUGCAAGAAUAACCAUUAAAAUAAUCAAAGCUAAAAGUAAGUAUGUACUGUGUGCCAAGUUCUUGACUCAUUUGGCACAACUCUUCGGAGGUAAGCACCAUUGAAAUUCUCACCUUCUAGAUUAAGAGGCUGAUAGAACCUGGAUUUGAGCCCAUUGACAAAGGACCACUCUCUGCUCUGUUCUGUUCUCAUGCUGCUGGUUUAGUCAGCUGAGUCAAAGGUUGCCUUUGCUUAGAAGGCCUAACAAAACCAGAGCAGGGUCCAUGGAAAAGGAGACAUGAAAAGGGACAUAUUUCCUGGUAAGAUUUGUAUUCAUUUAACAAUUUUAAGCACAUAUUUAAUAACCAGGCACUCACUACCUGACAAGCUCUGAGCCAGGUGCAGGGUAUCCGAGGGAACUAGGAGAGAGGCACUAAGUGCUGUACUAAGAACCUGAAUGAGUGCAUUUGAGUCCUGGGUCUGCUACAUGUGUGACCUAGGAAAAGUCACUUAAAUCAUUUAACUGUCUCCUCAUCUUUAACAUAUAGAUGGUUAAAAAGUACACAGCACUUGGAAUAAUAAACGGGCAGAUUGUUAAUGUUGAAGGUGUGAGCUGCUGUUCUUACAACACAAUGUCAGCCCUUGAAGCUCUUACAGUAGAUGGAAAGAUGGAGAUGAGUAGGAUCUAAUUAUUGGCCAAGUGCAAAGGAGCUAAAAAGGCCACCCACGCUGCUACUUACUUCAGCAAUACCCAAGGAAACAAGGGCAAAAAAAGAGCUCUAGAGGCUCUUCUUGGUCUAGCCCUGCUUUUGAGUUUGGGGCCAAAGCUCUAAUUCACUCUAAUUCAGGGGUGUUAGCAAGGUUCUUGUCUGGCAUUCUAGCUCUGAACAGUUGAUACCAGCUUCCUGAACCAUGUGUUAAGAGAGAUCUCAGACUGCAUGUAGAGAACGUAUGCCUUGAGAGAUAAGUGAUGUCUGCCAUUGAUUGAGGGUGGAGAGGAGGAGCCAAGUGGUUCUAGAACAGUGUCCUUUUGCCUAGAAUGUCCCUACAGCAGGAGCAGCUGGGCAAGACUCAGAAGUCCUGAUUAUAAUCACAGAUUAAGGUGACCAACUAUCCCAGUUUGCCUAGGACUGUUCCAGUUUUAGAACUGAAAUUCCUGCAACCCAGAAAACCUCUCAAUCUUGGGCACAUCCCAAUCAGCUUUGCAGGCUUUCUCUAUCUGACAAUACCAAAAAAAAACAACAACUAUGAGCUCUGACUAGAAGAGAUUACUCUUUUUGUCUUGGCCAAUUUCAGCCUGUGAAAAUGCAUCUUAUUCUGGCCUGUAUGUGCCAGCCAUAUGCCCUCAAAUGUUCCCCCACUUCACAAUAGCUGACCUCCAUACCUCUCUCCUUUCUCAGCUAUUUUUCCUGCUGUAUCCACUGACGCCUUAGUAGGAAACAGAUGGCACCAUCAAAGGGUUUAGCUGAAGAGAAUUUCAUACAGGGAUUAUUUACAGAGGCGUGGGCAGGGUUAAUGGAACCAACAAGAGCUGGGGAGACAGUCAGGGAUUAGCUCUUACCACAGGAGGUCUGCAGGGACAAAGGGAGGGGAUGCUGUUACCAGCCUGGUAAGAGCUGAAACUGUGCAGGAGAGGUCACUGGGCCUGGGAGCUGGAGCCUCUGUCUCAUCUGCGGUGUGGCAGAGAGGAAAGAGGAGGAGGGCAUAAAAAUCCC